UUAUCUUCUGUAGUAUCUGAGGGGGUAGCCCAAAUAAUGCGUGUGUCCAGAGGAUUCAUGACCCGUAUUAAGAUACAUCAAAAAGAUCUAAGACUUUGGGAGCAUCUUCAAGAAUCUGCUGAAAAAAUUAUGUUUUUUUGGAGUUUCAGAAAGAAUCACCAAUGUUUAUUGCAUUCUACUUGAUGCUAGAAAGAUUGAAAUUUAAUGGAACAUGUAAUGAAAGUAGAGAAUAUAAAUGAACAUUACUACAUGAGGAAACAAAUUUAUGAUUCUAAGCUAAA